rnacentral:rRNA from 1 species
AUCAGACAGGACACCCCGCUGACAAUUAACACCCGUGAACAAAAAGUAGUAACUUAACAAGAAAACCCUACUGCACCCUAUGUUGACCUAACACCAGAGCACUACAAGAAAGAUUUAAAGAAAGAGAAGGAACUCGGCAAAUAAUAACCUCGCCUGUUUACCAAAAACAUCGCCUCUUGAAUAAUAUAAGAGGUCCAGCCUGCCCAGUGACUCUGUUCAACGGCCGCGGUAUCCUAACCGUGCGAAGGUAGCGUAAUCACUUGUUCUUUAAAUGAGGACUAGUAUGAACGGCACCACGAAGGUUAUGCUGUCUCCUCUUUCCAAUCAGUGAAACUAAUCUCCCCGUGAAGAAGCGAGGAUAUACGUAUAAGACGAGAAGACCCUAUGGAGCUUUAAACCACACAACACCUGCUCUAACUUAAUUAACCUUCAGAAAACCCCCAUUUACCCAUGCAGGAUGAUUGUCAGUUUUAGGUUGGGGUGACCGCGGAGCACAAAAUAACCUCCACAUUGAAAGGAGCCCACUCCUUAGCUAAGAGCCACACCUCCACGCAUCAACAAAA